rnacentral:rRNA from 2 species
GAGUACGACCACACUUGAGUGAAAACACCAUAUCCCGUCCGAUUUGUGAAGUUAAGCACUCACAGGCUCCGUUAGUACUGAGGUCAGUGAUGACUCGGGAACCCGGAGUGCCGUACUCU